AAACAGUUGCUCAAGUUCUUCGACACCUUUUUAUCAAUAGCGGUAAAAGGUUCGUCAAGGAUCCAAAUUUUACAGU
rnacentral:tRNA from 1 species